rnacentral:rRNA from 1 species
CCUACGGGAGGCAGCAGUGGGGAAUCUUGCGCAAUGGGCGAAAGCCUGACGCAGCCAUGCCGCGUGAAUGAUGAAGGUCUUAGGAUUGUAAAAUUCUUUCACCGGGGACGAUAAUGACGGUACCCGGAGAAGAAGCCCCGGCUAACUUCGUGCCAGCAGCCGCGGUAAUACGAAGGGGGCUAGCGUUGCUCGGAAUUACUGGGCGUAAAGGGAGCGUAGGCGGAUAGUUUAGUCAGAGGUGAAAGCCCAGGGCUCAACCUUGGAAUUGCCUUUGAUACUGGCUAUCUUGAGUGUGGGAGAGGUAUGUGGAACUCCGAGUGUAGAGGUGAAAUUCGUAGAUAUUCGGAAGAACACCAGUGGCGAAGGCGACAUACUGGCCCAUUACUGACGCUGAGGCUCGAAAGCGUGGGGAGCAAACAGGAUUAGAUACCCUGGUAGUCCACGCUGUAAACGAUGAGUGCUAGUUGUCGGUCGAUGCAUGCAUGUCGGUGACGCGAGCUACGACAUUAAGUACACUCCGCCGUCGGGAGGUACGGUCGCGAGAAGUUAAAACUUAAAGUAGUAAGUUAGACGGCGUGAGACGUGCCGACGGACGACGACGAGGGAGGAGG